UACGUAGGUGACCAGCGUUGUCCGGAUUUACUGGGCGUAAAGAGCGCGCAGGCGGUCGUUCAAGUCGAGUGUGAAAGCCCCCGGCUCAACUGGGGAGGGUCACUCGAUACUGAUCGACUCGAAGGCAGGAGAGGGAAGCGGAAUUCCCGGUGUAGCGGUGAAAUGCGCAGAUAUCGGGAGGAACACCGGUGGCGAAGGCGGUUCUCUGGGCCUGACCUGACGCUGAGGAGCGAAAGCGUGGGGAGCGAACAGG
rnacentral:rRNA from 1 species